GAGCGAACGCUGGCGGCAGGCUUAACACAUGCAAGUCGAACGGACCCUUCGGGGUUAGUGGCGGACGGGUGAGUAACACGUGGGAACGUGCCUUUAGGUUCGGAACAACACAGGGAAACUUGUGCUAAUACCGGAUAAGCCCUUCGGGGGAAAGAUUUAUCGCCUUUAGAGCGGCCCGCGUCUGAUUAGCUUGUUGGUGAGGUAAAGGCUCACCAAGGCUACGAUCAGUAGCUGGUCUGAGAGGAUGGCCAGCCACAUUGGGACUGAGACACGGCCCAAACUCCUACGGGAGGCAGCAGUGGGGAAUCUUGCGCAAUGGGCGAAAGCCUGACGCAGCCAUGCCGCGUGGAUGAUGAAGGUCUUAGGAUUGUAAAAUCCUUUCAGCGUGGACGAUAAUGACGGUACCCGCAGAAGAAGCCCCGGCUAACUUCGUGCCAGCAGCCGCGGUAAUACGAAGGGGGCUAGCGUUGCUCGGAAUUACUGGGCGUAAAGGGCGCGUAGGCGGACAGUUAAGUUGGGGGUGAAAGCCCGGGGCUCAACCUCGGAAUUGCCUUCAAUACUGGCUGUCUUGAGUGUGAGAGAGGUGUGUGGAACUCCGAGUGUAGAGGUGAAAUUCGUAGAUAUUCGGAAGAACACCAGUGGCGAAGGCGACACACUGGCUCACUACUGACGCUGAGGCGCGAAAGCGUGGGGAGCAAACAGGAUUAGAUACCCUGGUAGUCCACGCUGUAAACGAUGAGUGCUAGUUGUCGG
rnacentral:rRNA from 1 species